rnacentral:tRNA from 1 species
AAAAAUGAAAUCAUUAGAUGUUUCAUUUACAAUGAAAAUUUUGUUUUUAACCAUUUUU